rnacentral:rRNA from 1 species
ACGAGCGGCGAACGGGUGAGUAACACGUGGGUGAUCUGCCCUGCACUCUGGGAUAAGCUUGGGAAACUGGGUCUAAUACCGGAUAUGACCGCAUGCCGCAUGGUGUGUGGUGGAAAGAUUUAUCGGUGCAGGAUGGGCCCGCGGCCUAUCAGCUUGUUGGUGGGGUAAUGGCCUACCAAGGCGACGACGGGUAGCCGACCUGAGAGGGUGACCGGCCACACUGGGACUGAGACACGGCCCAGACUCCUACGGGAGGCAGCAGUGGGGAAUAUUGCACAAUGGGCGGAAGCCUGAUGCAGCGACGCCGCGUGAGGGAUGAAGGCCUUCGGGUUGUAAACCUCUUUCAGCAGGGACGAAGCGUGAGUGACGGUACCUGCAGAAGAAGCACCGGCUAACUACGUGCCAGCAGCCGCGGUAAUACGUAGGGUGCGAGCGUUGUCCGGAAUUACUGGGCGUAAAGAGUUCGUAGGCGGUUUGUCGCGUCGUUUGUGAAAACCCGGGGCUCAACUUCGGGCUUGCAGGCGAUACGGGCAGACUUGAGUGUUUCAGGGGAGACUGGAAUUCCUGGUGUAGCGGUGAAAUGCGCAGAUAUCAGGAGGAACACCGGUGGCGAAGGCGGGUCUCUGGGAAACAACUGACGCUGAGGAA